AAAAGUAAUCACCGUUUUUGCC
rnacentral:miRNA from 1 species